rnacentral:rRNA from 1 species
UACGGGGGGGGCAAGCGUUGUUCGGAAUUACUGGGCGUAAAGGGCUCGUAGGCGGCCAACUAAGUCAGACGUGAAAUCCCUCGGCUUAACCGGGGAACUGCGUCUGAUACUGGAUGGCUUGAAUCCGGGAGAGGGAUGCGGAAUGUGUCGUGUAGCGGUGAAAUGCUUAGAUAUGACACAGAACACCGAUUGCGAAGGCAGCUAGCUAGACCGACAUUGACGCUGAGGCACGAAAGCGUGGGGAUCAAACAGG